AUCACGACGGCGACGUCAUUGUGGAGACCGACGGGUGGAGGCUUGCGGCGACCCGUCUUCUUGUAGUGCUGCUCGGCGCCAUCGUCGGAUCAGCAGGUCGAUCCUUCUGUGUCGCCAAUGCAGGAACUCCCGAGAAUCGGUGCUGGGAGCCGGUGAAUCGCGGUCGAUGUCUGGUCGAUGAUGAGGUUCGCUCGUUGGUGUGGUAGGAGUUGGUGCUGGCAUCCCAGCUCUUGCCCCGGGGACGGUAAUUAGCAAGAUGUCUCGUCCGCUUCCGUCCGGAACAAGGACGAGCGUGUGUUCUGUCUGAACGCUGGUCGUCAAGUUGCCGAGCAACGUGUUGUGUUUUCAAUAGCAGCUUCGGUAAGCGGCUGAAUUUCAUUUAUAUUUUUUCUUUGCGUAAGCGAAAUGCUCUUGCAGGGUUGGAGGAAGUCGGUGAAGGCGUUAGGGAGCGUCGUGUUUCGUCGGCGAAAACUUUGCCUUCCCGCCGAGUGUCGUAUUCUUUCGACGCAUCGGAUAGAGAAAGAAGAGGGAAGGAAGAUAUGCGAAAGAAGAAUAUAGAAGAAAUGGGGCGUAUGGGAGCUACCACGGAGAAGAAUAAGACCAAUUUGUAAACCUAAACUGUAUAUAGUUAUGCUUUAAAUCGAACAAAUUCUACAUGUACCGAAAAGGGAUUGUAUGCUUUAUUACAGAUUGUUUUUUUUGUUUUUUUUUCUCUUUUUAUACUCGAGACGAGAGCAAUUAUGAAAAAGGUAAGGCAACAGAAAAUGUUUCGACGGUUCGCUGCUGGUUCAGUUCGUUGGUGCGAACCGGUUUGGAAUAAAUAUUACUCCGGGUCCUACUUCGUAUGCUGACGGUGCGCCCGAUUUUCCGAACCGCCAACCCAUCAUUGCCACUUUACUUUCAUAUGUUGAUAUCUAUAUUCCCUUCCUAUUUUAUUGCUUGGUCUAUCGAUUUCUUUAACCCCUUUUCUGAAAUAACUACUACCAUAUCGCAA